UGCCUAACACAUGCAAGUCGUACGAGUAGUUUUUAACUCAAGUGGCGGACGGGUGAGUAACACGUGAGAAUCUACCUUUAGGAGGGGGAUAACAACUGGAAACGGUUGCUAAUACCCCAUAUGCUUUCGAGUGAAAUGGAUUUAUCCGCCUAGAGAGGAGCUCGCGGCUGAUUAGCUUGUUGGUAGGGUAAUGGCCUACCAAGGCGACGAUCAGUAUCUGGUUUGAGAGGACGAUCAGACACACUGGAACUGAGACACGGUCCAGACUCCUACGGGAGGCAGCAGUGGGGAAUUUUCCGCAAUGGGCGAAAGCCUGACGGAGCAAUACCGCGUGAGGGAAGACGGCCUAUGGGUUGUAAACCUCUUUUCUCAGGGAGGAACUCAAUGACGUGUACCUGAGGAAUAAGCAUCGGCUAACUCCGUGCCAGCAGCCGCGGUAAGACGGAGGAUGCAAGUGUUAUCCGGAAUCACUGGGCGUAAAGCGUCUGUAGGUGGUUUAAUAAGUCAACUGUUAAAUCUUGAAGCUCAACUUCAAAAUCGCAGUCGAAACUAUUAGACUAGAGUAUAGUAGGGGUAAAGGGAAUUUCCAGUGGAGCGGUGAAAUGC
rnacentral:rRNA from 1 species